CACGAUAAGAUUUAUAAAGUGUAAGUAGCCUCUGAAUGGGAAAUAUUGAUCAUGCUAACUUUUCACGAGGAAGUAGACAUCGGACUUUUCAUUUUUGACACUAAACUACAAACUUAUUACUAUCCUUGCCCUUGCGGUGAUCAAUUUGAGAUAACUUUGGAAGAACUUUUAGAUGGAGAAGAUUGUGCUUACUGCCCUAGUUGUUCUCUUGUAAUACGCGUAAUACUCCCAGAGGAUUACGUAUUUCCUAGGGAACAGGAAUUUGGUAAAUCGCCUAUAGUUACUUAACUUAAAAGUUAAACAAGGUUUAUAUAUACAAUUAUAGUUUAG